rnacentral:lncRNA from 1 species
AUUCAUUGAUUUUUUUUGCCUCCCAAUGUUUGUUGCUUUUCUCGAUGAAGUCUUCCACUCUUUUUCUCAACUCAUCUUCUUCUUCUUCUUUUAAUUAACCAUGUCUAUGCUCAAACACGAUUCUUUCUCCUCGUGCAAUUCAAUCGAUUUCAUUAGGCGAUCAUCAUCAACAAUGCUAAGCUUAACUCAGAUCUUGAGUGCAGAGUCGAAGACGAACAAAGCUACGGCGACGGCGCAGCUGGCGGCGAUCGACAGCAACGCCACUCCAGCUGAAGACGCCGGUGCAGGACCUUCCUGCGCGGCUGAGCGAGCGGCGAUUGAGUGGGGGCGGAGCGGCGCGGCGGACGGGCGGCGAGGACGAGAGAGAGAGAGAGAGAACAGGAGAGAGAGAGAAGAGAGUAGAGAGAGAGUGAUGAGAGAGAGAGAGUAAAAAAUUAUGAAUUUGUGGGGAAUGAAUUUGUGGCUAAUUUUUUAAUUUUUAUUGUUAGGGGUAAUUUUGUACUUUUACACAAAAAAUGGCCAAAUUUUAAAGUUUUUAUUUGACUGGCCAAUUUUUAAGUUUACUAUAUGAA